rnacentral:sRNA from 1 species
GUUGAUUCAAAUACCACUGGACCCAGUACUAAGAAAACCAAUUUUCAGGAAUCUAUCAAAUCCAAUACAACAGCCAACGGCAAACCUACGACUCCUUUCCCAACCAAAACAACAACCAAGCCCAAACCUACGACUCCUUUCCCAAGUAAGUUUUUAAAAAGUUU